rnacentral:rRNA from 1 species
CCUACGGGUGGCAGCAGUGGGGAAUAUUGCGCAAUGGGCGAAAGCCUGACGCAGCGACGCCGCGUGAGGGAUGAAGGUCUUCGGAUCGUAAACCUCUGUCAGCAGGGAAGAACGGUCACUGUGCUAAUCAGCAGUGAAUUGCCGGUACCUGCAAAGGAAGCACCGGCUAACUCCGUGGCAGGAGCCGCGGUAAUACGGAGGGUGCGAGCGUUAAUCGGAAUUACUGGGCGUAAAGCGCUCGUAGGCGGUAUGUCAAGUCAAGGGUGAAAUCCUGGGGCUCAACGUGGGAACUGCCUUUGAAACUGGCAAGCUGGAGUGUGUGAGAGGAUAGUGGAAUUCCAGGUGUAGGAGUGAAAUCCGUAGAUAUCUGGAGGAACAUCAGUGGCGAAGGCGACUAUCUGGCACAUAACUGACGCUGAGGAGCGAAAGCGUGGGGAGCAAACAGGAUUAGAUACCCCUGUAGUC